GACGAACGCUGGCGGCGUGCCUAAUACAUGCAAGUCGAGCGAAUCGAUGGGAGCUUGCUCCCUGAGAUUAGCGGCGGACGGGUGAGUAACACGUGGGCAACCUGCCUAUAAGACUGGGAU
rnacentral:rRNA from 1 species